UGGGGAAUAUUGCGCAAUGGGGGGAACCCUGACGCAGCCAUGCCGCGUGAAUGAAGAAGGCCUUCGGGUUGUAAAGUUCUUUCGGUAUUGAGGAAGGUUGAUGUGUUAAUAGCACAUCAAAUUGACGUUAAAUACAGAAGAAGCACCGGCUAACUCCGUGCCAGCAGCCGCGGUAAUACGGAGGGUGCGAGCGUUAAUCGGAAUAACUGGGCGUAAAGGGCACGCAGGCGGUUAUUUAAGUGAGGUGUGAAAGCCCCGGGCUUAACCUGGGAAUUGCAUUUCAGACUGGGUAACUAGAGUACUUUAGGGAGGGGUAGAAUUCCACGUGUAGCGGUGAAAUGCGUAGAGAUGUGGAGGAAUACCGAAGGCGAAGGCAGCCCCUUGGGAAUGUACUGACGCUCAUGUGCGAAAGCGUGGGGAGCAAACAGGAUUAGAUACCCUGGUAGUCCACGCCGUAAACGCUGUCGAUUUGGGGGUUGGGGUUUAACUCUGGCGCCCGUAGCUAACGUGAUAAAUCGACCGCCUGGGGAGUACGGCCGCAAGGUUA
rnacentral:rRNA from 1 species